UAUUUCAUACGUCAGAUAUCCGCACCCCCUACAAUUGGUAUCAAAGUCCAGUAAUUCAAAAAAUACGGAAGUGAGAUAUAUGUUAGAGUUAUUAGAAUUUACCUAUAAAUUAUUAAAUUAAUUAUGCGAAGACCAUUUAAAAAUAGAGAAGCUUUUAGAAAAAUUAAAGAAUCUUUAAUUAAUAAUUAUUCAGAAUAUAUAAGUCUAAAUAAAACAAAAGAAAACCCACAAAGAUUAGC
rnacentral:lncRNA from 1 species